rnacentral:rRNA from 1 species
UACAGAGGGCUCAAGCGUUGUUCGGAUUCAUUGGGCGUAAAGGGUGCGUAGGUGGCGCUGUAAGUCGGGUGUGAAAUUUCGGAGCUUAACUCCGAAACUGCAUUCGAUACUGCGGUGCUUGAGGACUGGAGAGGAGACUGGAAUUCAUGGUGUAGCAGUGAAAUGCGUAGAGAUCAGGAGGAAGACCAGUGGCGAAGGCGGGUCUCUGGACAGUUCCCGACACUGAGGCACGAAGGCCAGGGGAGCAAACGGG